rnacentral:lncRNA from 1 species
CUCUAAAUGAUUGGUUGACAAGUUACAAGUUCGUCAGAUAUAUGAUAGUUUGCACUCUUGGUGAGUUGGCCCUCGUAGGCCAAAGACCAAGAUGGCGGGCUUUCUCACAGACAGGGUUCACUGGAUACUGGCAGCUGUCUCAGUCAGGAAACUCUCAGGAUACAGGAUCCUACCAGAACACGGGUAAAUGGAGGAGACCGGGAUGGACCGGAUCUCAGGAUAUCUGUGUAGCUGGAAAGCAGGAACCUCGGGCUCUCAGGGAACCGGAUGAAACGAAUUGAAUUGACCCAGAAGUGCCUGAGAACAAAGAAAACAACAAGAAAGUAAAUGAAAAUGGAAGCCUGCAUUGAGGAUAUGGGAAAAAAAAUUAAACCUGGAAAGAAAGAACAAUAAUAAAAGUAUUAUCUCCUGUUAUCA